GAGGAGGGGAAGGGGUGAAUAAAAAGAAUGUAAAUCAUUUCAUUUAGAAGGAUAAUACAAAUCCCAAAGUGGUCUUUAUUUCACCAAACAAUACUAAAACAGAGGUUAUGGAUGGAACCCUUUUCAGUUGAAAAUUGCAAGCAUGCAUGUUUUGAAAGUCCUUUUCAUUUACUUCCAGUGCAGAAAAUGUGGUGAAUGAAGUUUCCUUUUUAAUGAUGCUAUACAAUGAUGGGUGUUAUUACUUUGAUCCUCAAGGGAAUGAUAAAGUAGCCGGAGUUUCUCAGUUCUUUUGGUCAAGUAACU
rnacentral:misc_RNA from 1 species